rnacentral:lncRNA from 1 species
GGGUGGAGGGGCGCCCUGGGGAAGGAGACAGCCGGCCCGCUGCCUUUGACCAGGGGAUGGAAGACCAGGCCCUUAGGGAACAACCUGGGAGGUGGGGGCGUGAGCCAGUAAUGGAAAAGGCAGACAGGAUAGAGAGGGAGAGGGAAGGCGAAUCGAGGGAAGGUGCGGGAUGGAGAAAAAGCGAGUAGAAAGGAACCGGGUCUACAGCAGAAGACAAUCUAAGGGUUUGGGGGAAGGGAGGAGGGCAAGAAAGGCACAUAGUUGGUAGCAAAGCAAAAGAAGAGGGACUGGAGCCAGAGAAGGAAGACACUAGAGAGAGGAUGAUUGGGGUGUGGGGUGGGAGGUGAGAACAAUGGUCAAGUAUCAGACGAGGGUUCCACUGACAAUAACAAAAAAAAAAACACAAAAAAACGGCCAGUUGGAGACCAUAAGGGCAAGAAUGAAAGGGUGUCAAAAGGUUUAGAAGUCCAUCAUUGCAGCACUGGUAUCUCCCAGCAUGUCCAUGGCAACAACAUCCAUCAAUAUGGCAGUGGAAGCAAAUGUUUUGGAGGGAACCCACUGAAAAAGGACUGGCCAGUUUCACCAUUUCAGUGUCAGGCCAAUAUUGGAAGUUGAUAAGAGAUUGCCAAGCAAGGUGAGAUAUGAAAAGGCUAAUUAAUAAGCAGUCUGUCAGAUUACAGUAUGUCUUAAAAAAAAAAACACAACCUUACCUUCUGUCUUUGAAUCAAUACUGUAUUUUGGUUCCAAGGCAGAAGAGUGGUAAGAGCUAGGCAGUGAGGGUCAAGUGACUUGCCCAGGGUCACACAGCUGGGAAGUGUCUGAGGCCAGAUUUGAACCUACAACCUCCUGUUUCUCAAUCCACUGAGCUACCUAGCUGCCCCCUACAGUAUGUCUUGAUAAGGCUAAAAUACCAUCCUUCCAACAAUUAUAAUUUAAGGUACUGGAUC